AGUAGAACGCUGGCGGCGUGCUUAACACAUGCAAGUCGAACGAGAACGGAUUAUAGCUUGCUAUAAUUGUCAGCUAAGUGGCGCACGGGUGAGUAAUGUAUAGGUAAUAUGCCUCUUACUAAGGGAUAACAAAUGGAAACGUUUGCUAAUACCUUAUACUCCUUAUUAACAGAAGUUAAUAAGGGAAAGAUUUAUUGGUAAGAGAUUAGCCUGUAUUGUAUCAGUUAGUUGGUGGGGUAAUGGCUUACCAAGACUAUGACACAUAACUGGUUUGAGAGGAUGAUCAGUCACACUGGAACUGAGACACGGUCCAGACUCCUACGGGAGGCAGCAGGUGGGGAAUAUUGCACAAUGGACGAAAGUCUGAUGCAGCAACGCCGCGUGGAGGAUGACACAUUUCGGUGCGUAAACUCCUUUUAUAUGAGAAGAUAAUGACGGUAUUAUAUGAAUAAGCACCGGCUAACUCCGUG
rnacentral:rRNA from 1 species